rnacentral:tRNA from 1 species
AGGGAUGUAGCUCAAAGGUAGAGCACUUGUCUAGCACACACGAAGCCCUGAGUUCCAUCCCUA